AAAGUACUAAUUGGAAGCCAACAGAACAAGACUCGAGAACGAGGCUUGAAAACACGCAACGCCAGACUCAGGAACAGCUUCUUCUCUGCUGUUAUCAGACAAAUGAAUGGUCUUCCCAUUAGCUAAGAAAAUACCUGGCUCUAAACCGGUGGACACUGACAAGUUGGGCCGAAGGGCCUGUUUCCACACUGUAUGACUAUGACUAGAAAUUUACAACACUCAAAUUUUAAAUCUAAUUUAAUAUGGUGUGCAUUAAAGGAUAGAACACUGAAUUAUUAUCAUGUUUUCCAUGAUUGUGCGUUAGUAUGCAGAGGCAAAAUACAACUAAAUUGGCUCAUGGAUAGUCAAAGCAUAGAGCAAUGGGUUCAUCUGAUAAUAACAUAACACAAUGCUCUGCUGAUUGGCGAUACAAGCAAUCAUGAAUUUCAUACAAAUGUACUUUAUUCUAUGUUUUAAAUUAUAAAGAUAA